rnacentral:rRNA from 1 species
GAUGAACGCUGGCGGCGUGCCUAAUACAUGCAAGUAGAACGCUGAAGGAAGGAGCUUGCUCUUUCCGGAUGAGUUGCGAACGGGUGAGUAACGCGUAGGUAACCUGCCUUGUAGCGGGGGAUAACUAUUGGAAACGAUAGCUAAUACCGCAUAACAUUAGAUUUUGCAUGAUAUCUACUUAAAAGGUGCUAUUGCACCCCUACCAGAUGGACCUGCGUUGUAUUAGCUAGUUGGUGAGGUAAAGGCUCACCAAGGCGACGCUACAUAGCCAGACGGAGAGGGGGAGAGGCCACACUGGGAAUGAGACACGGACCAGACUUCUACGGGAGGGAGGAGGAGGGAAUGCUCCGCAAAGGACGGAAGUCUGACCGAGGAACGGCGGGUGAGGGAAGGAAGUUUUCGGAUCGGAAAGAAAUGUUGUAAGAGAAGAAAGAGUGUGAGAAUGGAAAGUGCACACUGUGACGGUAGCUGACCAGAAAGGGACGGCUAACUACGUG